rnacentral:rRNA from 2 species
CGGUAUUUAACCAGAAAGCCACGGCUAACUACGUGCCAGCAGCCGCGGUAAUACGUAGGUGGCAAGCGUUGUCCGGAUUUAUUGGGCGUAAAGCGAGCGCAGGCGGUUUUUUAAGUCUGAUGUGAAAGCCUUCGGCUCAACCGAAGAAGUGCAUCGGAAACUGGGAAACUUGAGUGCAGAAGAGGACAGUGGAACUCCAUGUGUAGCGGUGAAAUGCGUAGAUAUAUGGAAGAACACCAGUGGCGAAGGCGGCUGUCUGGUCUGUAACUGACGCUGAGGCUCGAAAGUAUGGGUAGCAAACAGGAUUAGAUACCCUGGUAGUCCAUACCGUAAACGAUGAAUGCUAAGUGUUGGAGGGUUUCCGCCCUUCAGUGCUGCAGCUAACGCAUUAAGCAUUCCGCCUGGGGAGUACGGCCGCAAGGCUGAAACUCAAAGGAAUUGACGGGGGCCCGCACAAGCGGUGGAGCAUGUGGUUUAAUUCGAAGCUACGCGAAGAACCUUACCAGGUCUUGACAUACUA